GCUCUUUUCAUCACCGUCAGGAACACCUAUAUGAGACGUGUCGGGUUUCGGCUCGACUAUGGCAAUAAACGGUCGAUGAAAUAAACCUAUUGGACCCGGGGGCGGUACCCGGCGCCUCCACCAAAAACCGGUCGGCAGACAGGAUGCUGGACCGGCUUUUGAUGGGGGCGAAAUAGGAUCGACAAGGGUGUAAAGAUCGAACUUUUGCCCGGCAUGAUACCGCCGUUAUCGGGUCACAAGUGUAGUUGCAAACGACAACAACGCUAAGGGUUACGCUCUCGCUGCCUAAUGGCGGUGCGGGAAACCCGACCUAAGUCCUCCAGGUUAGCCCCUUGAGGCGGGGUCCGAAGGCACCUGGCAACAGAAGCCUUCACC
rnacentral:tmRNA from 2 species